rnacentral:rRNA from 1 species
UACGUAGGGGGCAAGCGUUAUCCGGAAUUACUGGGUGUAAAGGGAGCGUAGACGGUGAUGUAAGUCUGGAGUGAAAGGCGGGGGCCCAACCCCCGGACUGCUCUGGAAACUAUGUGACUGGAGUGCAGGAGAGGUGAGCAGAAUUCCUAGUGUAGCGGUGAAAUGCGUAGAUAUUAGGAGGAACACCGGUGGCGAAGGCGAAUUGCUGGACUGUAACUGACACUGAGGCACGAAGGCGUGGGGAGCAAACAGG